rnacentral:lncRNA from 12 species
GCCAUCAGUGGGGAUGAUGUGCCUAAAAGGAAAAACAUGGGUCACCGUGCCUGAGUAAAUCAAACACCACAGGAGAGGAGGAAGAAUGAGAGGCUGCAGCCAGGAAAAAGUAAAACGACUUCAGAAAUC